CUGCGUGGUCGACCUAUGCCUGAUGAGAUUGAGCCAAGCCACCCUGGAGGAGCUUAAUGACUGGAAAAGCACAAUGGUCGGCAUGCUGGAGAACACAGUGGAAGUCAUCAACCACACCCUCCCAGAUCCAUCAACAACUGAAAAGUACAACAAGUG